rnacentral:rRNA from 1 species
CAGUCGCCGCGGUAAUACGUAGGGUGCGAGCGUUAAUCGGGAUUACUGGGCGUAAAGCGUGCGCAGGCGGUUGUGUAAGACAGGUGUGAAAUCCCCGGGCUUAACCUGGGAACUGCGCUUGUGACUGCACAGCUAGAGUAUGGCAGAGGGGGGUGGAAUUCCACGUGUAGCAGUGAAAUGCGUAGAGAUGUGGAGGAACACCGAUGGCGAAGGCAGCCCCCUGGGCCAAUACUGACGCUCAUGCACGAAAGCGUGGGGAGCAAACAGGAUUAGAUACCCCUGUAGUCCCUGUCUCUUAUAC